ACAACUGACUUCAGAGGACAGUGGCGGACGGGUGAGUAACGCGUGGGUAACCUGCCUUGUACUGGGGGAUAGCAGCUGGAAACGGCUGGUAAUACCGCAUAAGCGCACAAUGUUGCAUGACAUGGUGUGAAAAACUCCGGUGGUAUAAGAUGGACCCGCGUCUGAUUAGCUAGUUGGUGAGAUAACAGCCCACCAAGGCGACGAUCAGUAGCCGACCUGAGAGGAAGGUCCCCACAUUGGAACUGAGACACGGUCCAGACUCC
rnacentral:rRNA from 1 species